GACGAACGCUGGCGGCGUGCCUAAUACAUGCAAGUUGAGCGCUGAAGGUUGGUACUUGUACCAACUGGAUGAGCAGCGAACGGGUGAGUAGCGCGUGGGGAAUCUGCCUUUGAGCGGGGGACAACAUUUGGAAACGAAUGCUAAUACCGCAUAAAAACUUUAAACACAAGUUUUAAGUUUGAAAGAUGCAAUUGCAUCACUCAAAGAUGAUCCCGCGUUGUAUUAGCUAGUUGGUGAGGUAAAGGCUCACCAAGGCGAUGAUACAUAGCCGACCGGAGAGGGUGAUCGGCCACAAGUGGACUGAGACGCGGCACAAACCCCUACGGGAGGCAGCAAUAGGGAAGCUUCGGCAAGGGACGAAAGUCUGACCGAGCAACGCCGCGUGAGUGAAGAAGGUUUUCGGAUCGUAAAACUCUGUUGGUAGAGAAGAACGUUGGUGAGAGUGGAAAGCUCAUCAAGUGACGGUAACUACCCAGAAAGGGACGGCUAACUACGUG
rnacentral:rRNA from 1 species